UACUGGCUGCUCAUAUUUUCCGCAAGGAAUGUGAGGGCUUAAUAACUAAAAUAAUGAAAAUUCCUCUUUGACUGGCCGAU
rnacentral:misc_RNA from 1 species